CAGCCGCCGCGGUAAUACGAAGGGUGCAAGCGUUAAUCGGAAUUACUGGGCGUAAAGCGUACGUAGGCGGUUUGUUAAGUCUGUUGUGAAAUCCCCGGGCUCAACCUGGGAAUGGCAAUGGAUACUGGCAAGCUAGAGUGUGUCAGAGGAUGGUGGAAUUCCCGGUGUAGCGGUGAAAUGCGUAGAGAUCGGGAGGAACAUCAGUGGCGAAGGCGGCCAUCUGGGACAACACUGACGCUGAGGCACGAAAGCGUGGGGAGCAAACAGGAUUAGAUACCCGGGUAGUCCCUGUCUCUUAUAC
rnacentral:rRNA from 1 species